AAAUUGAAGAGUUUGAUCAUGGCUCAGAUUGAACGCUGGCGGCAGGCCUAACACAUGCAAGUCGAACGGUAACAGGAAGCAGCUUGCUGCUUUGCUGACGAGUGGCGGACGGGUGAGUAAUGUCUGGGAAACUGCCUGAUGGAGGGGGAUAACUACUGGAAACGGUGGCUAAUACCGCAUAACGUCGCAAGACCAAAGAGGGGGACCUUCGGGCCUCUUGCCAUCAGAUGUGCCCAGAUGGGAUUAGCUUGUUGGUGAGGUAACGGCUCACCAAGGCGACGAUCCCUAGCUGGUCUGAGAGGAUGACCAGCCACACUGGAACUGAGACACGGUCCAGACUCCUACGGGAGGCAGCAGUGGGGAAUAUUGCACAAUGGGCGCAAGCCUGAUGCAGCCAUGCCGCGUGUAUGAAGAAGGCCUUCGGGUUGUAAAGUACUUUCAGCGGGGAGGAAGGUGUUGUGGUUAAUAACCGCAGCAAUUGACGUUACCCGCAGAAGAAGCACCGGCUAACUCCGUGCCAGCAGCCGCGGUAAUACGGAGGGUGCAAGCGUUAAUCGGAAUUACUGGGCGUAAAGCGCACGCAGGCGGUCUGUCAAGUCGGAUGUGAAAUCCCCGGGCUCAACCUGGGAACUGCAUUCGAAACUGGCAGGCUUGAGUCUUGUAGAGGGGGGUAGAAUUCCAGGUGUAGCGGUGAAAUGCGUAGAGAUCUGGAGGAAUACCGGUGGCGAAGGCGGCCCCCUGGACAAAGACUGACGCUCAGGUGCGAAAGCGUGGGGAGCAAACAGGAUUAGAUACCCUGGUAGUCCACGCCGUAAACGAUGUCUACUUGGAGGUUGUGCCCUUGAGGCGUGGCUUCCGGAGCUAACGCGUUAAGUAGACCGCCUGGGGAGUACGGCCGCAAGGUUAAAACUCAAAUGAAUUGACGGGGGCCCGCACAAGCGGUGGAGCAUGUGGUUUAAUUCGAUGCAACGCGAAGAACCUUACCUGGUCUUGACAUCCACAGAAGAAUCCAGAGAUGGAUUUGUGCCUUCGGGAACUGUGAGACAGGUGCUGCAUGGCUGUCGUCAGCUCGUGUUGUGAAAUGUUGGGUUAAGUCCCGCAACGAGCGCAACCCUUAUCCUUUGUUGCCAGCGGUCCGGCCGGGAACUCAAAGGAGACUGCCAGUGAUAAACUGGAGGAAGGUGGGGAUGACGUCAAGUCAUCAUGGCCCUUACGACCAGGGCUACACACGUGCUACAAUGGCGCAUACAAAGAGAAGCGACCUCGCGAGAGCAAGCGGACCUCAUAAAGUGCGUCGUAGUCCGGAUUGGAGUCUGCAACUCGACUCCAUGAAGUCGGAAUCGCUAGUAAUCGUGGAUCAGAAUGCCACGGUGAAUACGUUCCCGGGCCUUGUACACACCGCCCGUCACACCAUGGGAGUGGGUUGCAAAAGAAGUAGGUAGCUUAACCUUCGGGAGGGCGCUUACCACUUUGUGAUUCAUGACUGGGGUGAAGUCGUAACAAGGUAACCGUAGGGGAACCUGCGGUUGGAUCACCUCCUUACCUUAAAGAA
rnacentral:rRNA from 7 species